CUUUUAUAAUUUUUGCUGAACUGCUGAAUUUUUGCUCAAUUCUUGAUCAUGGUUUUAUUGUGUAUUUUUGAAUGAGCUAAUUGUCAUUUAUUUUGGUGUAUCUGCUAUUUUGUGUGUGUAUAGUUGUUGAGAAUUAUGACUGUUUACAUAUAUAAACAAAAUUGGAUUGUUGUUUGCCAAUUCAUCCCAACUUGAGCCUAUUUUUGUGAAUUGUGAGCCAAAGAUGGCUUGAUGUGAGGACUGUGCAAAAAUGCUUUGAUUAAGGUAGAUCCACCUUGUAAUAAAACCACCUUGAACGCCAUCGAAUGUGGUUCUUGUUGAGGAUGAUUUCUUAAGGACAUCUAGUGGUUUGUGAAGAUAGAUUAAACUUUUUAGAUUAUUUGAAAAUGGGUGAAUAGAUUUUGGUGGAAAUUCAAAUUUAUGAUGUCGGCUUGCGGAGAAGAUGCUUAAGUUGGUGCUUUCAUCUUUAAUUGGGUCAAUUUAUAUGAGUUUGGCUUUACAUCUCACCCAUCUUUUCAGACUUCUCCUUUAUCCUUAUUUUUUAAGUUUUUCUGUAUCUAGAGUUUGUUGGAUAGUAUUAUAAAUGAAUGAUAACAAGUACAUUACACGCAAGCAUUUCUUGUCUACUUUGGCUUACCUCAAGGAAGAAGCCAUGAUGUAGACAUUUAGAUUUCAUUUGGUUUUUCUCAAGUAGUCAAGUGGAUACCAUUAUACCGCAAGGAAGUAAUCUUAUCUUUUUAGCUUGUAAUGCUAUAUAAGCCGUAAGAGCAUUGCUUUGCAAAGGUGCUAUUUUGGGACGAACGGAAGUUUUCCAGAUUUGGUGGGUGAUCUCUCGUACAGAAGUUGUGGGUAUUGUGUUUAGUCUUAGCGCCCAGCAGCCAAUUUACGGUGAAGUAUGCUAUACAAAUAUACAAUACAAGAGUUAUAUGAUGCACCCACGAGGCAUUAUGUACCCAUGAGGCAUGCUCAUGUCUUGAAUAUACUUUGUGGUGUACAAUGCAAUGUAUAGUUGGUUGUAAGUCUUGUAACUAAAUGAUUAUAGUGAUUUAGGUUCAAAAUUUUGUAAACUUAAAAGAGAAAAGUUUUAAGUGUUUUGUAACUUUUUGGUGUCCUUUCGGCAAUAUUUUGGAUGUAUUUGACUUAAUAUUCCAAAGUAUAGGGAUGCAAAAAAGUUAUGAAUGUAGCUUGAAAAUUUAUCUCUCAAUUCGUUUGCAAAGUUAGUGGAGUAUAACCCAGUGUUAAUUAAAAUCUUUUGUUUUGAUGGAGAAUGUUAUAUUUACUCACUAGGUACAUUAUCCACUAGAAAUAGACUAUAAACAAUUAUAUUUCUAAUGGGUAAUCUACCCACUGGGUAGAUAUAGAAUUUUCCAAAUUAAAUAUUUGCCGGCUUCUUUGGGGAGUGUUUAUUAAUUAGAGUAAUUAAUUAAGAGAUUAAAUAUGUUUUUUUUUGUUAGAUCUAUAGAUAAUUAUGGAGACUCUCAAAAAUGGAAAAAUCAGAUGGUUCAGUUAGGUUUUACGAGAUUUGGCUCAUGCUAGGGUUGUGUUCAUACGGAUUGAAUUUUGUUUGAGUCACUUCGGGUAUAGACAAGUCUUAUUAGAUCUUUAGUAUGUAGAAGUAGAUAUUAAAGUAUGGGGGUUAUUGUGAUAUACCAAUAAUAUUUGUGCUGCCAAGGACUUGUAGCAUUGUGUUUUCUCAUGUCCAGUAGUAGGCUCUGUGCUCUUUGGUGCUCAAUAUUGGUGGCUUCUUAGUAUUCAUUCUCCUAUAGUCCUAUCUCAUCUCCUGUAGUUGGGACUUGGGACUUGGAAGGCAUAGGGCUGUUUCCCAUAUAUAUCUAAACUUACCAUCACUAUUGAAGUAUUGAGUGCCCCAGUUAUUCUGGUUUCGAUACAGAGUAGUUACUGAAAUGUAUCUGACCAGAUUGUUCCCAAUCGUUGCAUUUAGAGCAAUUUGAUUGAUGAUCAUAAUACUUUGCCACCCUUCGAUCAGUUCCUUAAUUUUGCUAAAUAGUAAGAUGAGUGUGAAGGAAACGAAUGUGGGAGAUGAAGACUUGUUGUUAUUUGGGUUGGUGUUCCCUCUCUCAAUCUAGAUGAAUUGAGGAUAGCUCAUGUUGGAUUAGUUUAAACGAUAGGUCAUGUUGUAUUAUUUGGUCCUGUUAUCAAACACCUAUCCUUCUUUUUGUAUUAUUACAUCGACUUCAAUAAUCUGCAUCUCUGUCUCUGUAACCCCAUUUAUUUUUUUUCAUCUGAAAUUAAUUGUCAAGUAAAUAGUACGGAGUAUAACUUUAAUGUGAUACCACCGAUCCGGAGUAACUAAACUGAAAGGUAUAGUAACAAUGUCCGUGGCCGAUGACCUAUGUUGAAUGUACCAACAUACUAAAUUUGGACUAAUCUUGGGGUUGACGAAGCACAUGUUUGUAGACUUUUCAAACUUUUUCUUCCUUCUUUAAUCUUUAUAUGAAUGGCCAUUUUCCGUCGGCAUCUUUACGCUCCUAGUGUAGCAUUUGGUUCCUGUGUUAGGCCCACAGUCCCACACACAAAGGGCAGAAUUAGUGAAUUAUUGUGGCCUUUUGUACUCCUAUUUUGAUUACUUGAAUAAUGUAGUACUAGUAGUUAGUUUAAGCUUAAAAUGGAGCAAAAAUAUCAUGUUAUCUUUGCUUGAUAAUUUCACGCUCUUUUAGCUAACAGCAAUUUAGUUGUUUCGUAUUGUAUUUGAUAUGAUAAGACACAUUGUACUGCGUAUAACAAACUUGUCAUGCGCAUGAAAUGAUAGUUUUGAAUACUAAUUUUAUUGCGCUUAAAAGCCAUGAUGAUCUAUGACUAAAAUGAGAUAUUUAACUUGAUUCUCACUUAUUUGGAUUUAUCUUAUCUUAUUUGAAUUAUAUGAAUUUAUUAGAUCUUAUUAAAAAUUAUUUUAGUUGUAAUUUGAAUUUAGUUAACAUUAUCAGAAAAUUCAGAAUUUAUUUUUCAAAUAAGGUGAACAGACAGUACUUUGUGAUAUAUGAAGUAUGAAAUCAAAUAGGCAUAAUCUUGAAUGAUUUUUUCCAUAUGAAUGACAUAUUUAUUGCUUUUUGGGAGGAUCACAUAUUCACAUAGGAUAUCAUUCAAUUUGAUUCUCGUUUGAUUUUUUUACCUGCCUUUAAGAUAUUUUAUGGUCUGUCAAUUAUCUAAAACAAUCUUGUGUGAGUUUGUUUGACUGUCACAAUUAAUUGCCUGAACUUUCCAUUUCUUUCAUGAAAUUGAAUCUUUAGAAUUAUGGAUUAAACCUUUGAAUAAUAUGUUUCCAUGAACAAAUUAAUUACUCCGUAGAUUUUACUCUUCUACGCUUAAUAUGCAACUCUAUAUUUUCCAAAAUGAUACAAAGUUAAUAAUUUUUAACCAAAUGUUCUUAGUCAUUAAACUCGAAAACUCUGUAAUUAGUAUGUUUAGUGCUUUAAACAUUUUCUUAUCCUUUAUUUUAUGGAUUGAAACACCUAUCUAAUUUCCCGAUUUUGAUGUGGAUUAUACUCCCUUGUCUAUUUAACACUUUGUAUGAAUUUGAUACAUUGACCCAAAAAAAAAAAAAAAAAAAAAAAAAAGAAAAGUAAA